AACGCAAGUUGCGGUCCUUGGUACACCAGGGACCACACCUUCUUGAGUAUCGGUUCUAUCAACACUCGACGGCGUGCGUGCUUUUUUUGCACACACGUGCAGUCGGAAAAUGAGUCUUCUUGCCUUGCCCCUCUCACAAGGGGUGUGUCAAGUGACUUUAAAUGAUAGAUGGUCUAUCAGUGCUUAAUCCUAAGUUUUUCGGGAAUAAGACUAAACAUGGAUAACAUCCAAUAUGUUUCUGGUCGUACCUCGUUGAAUGCUUUUUGGGAUCCAAAGUCCUUGACCACAUACCCAAAUUUAGGCUCCGUGCUUAAAUCUCCAUUAUUUUGAAUAAUGAUCUCAAGUAAGGCGAGAGAACCCCCUGAACUUAA
rnacentral:misc_RNA from 1 species